AUUUAUCGGAGAGUUUGAUCCUGGCUCAGGACGAACGCUGGCGGCGUGCCUAAUACAUGCAAGUCGAGCGGACAGAUGGGAGCUUGCUCCCUGAUGUUAGCGGCGGACGGGUGAGUAACACGUGGGUAACCUGCCUGUAAGACUGGGAUAACUCCGGGAAACCGGGGCUAAUACCGGAUGGUUGUUUGAACCGCAUGGUUCAGACAUAAAAGGUGGCUUCGGCUACCACUUACAGAUGGACCCGCGGCGCAUUAGCUAGUUGGUGAGGUAACGGCUCACCAAGGCGACGAUGCGUAGCCGACCUGAGAGGGUGAUCGGCCACACUGGGACUGAGACACGGCCCAGACUCCUACGGGAGGCAGCAGUAGGGAAUCUUCCGCAAUGGACGAAAGUCUGACGGAGCAACGCCGCGUGAGUGAUGAAGGUUUUCGGAUCGUAAAGCUCUGUUGUUAGGGAAGAACAAGUGCCGUUCAAAUAGGGCGGCACCUUGACGGUACCUAACCAGAAAGCCACGGCUAACUACGUGCCAGCAGCCGCGGUAAUAC
rnacentral:rRNA from 1 species